UUUAGAUUUAGAGACUUACAGAAUGUAGGUGCUAGAUGACUCCUUAGGGUCUAUUCUAUACAAUGUCAUAGCUGGAGGGCUUUUCGGAAUGAUUAUCUAAUCCAACUGCUUCAUUUGUCAGAUGAUAAACUAAAGCCCAACAAGGGGAAGGGGCUUGCUUCAAGGGACGUAUUCCUGGAGGCAAGAAGAUCACCAUCCAGAAUUAACAAAACUUUACUCAGGCUUCAUUUAACAGACUAACUAGAUUGAAGAUAAAAUAUGGCAAAAA